CCCAGAGCUGAUUGGUCCAAGAGAGCCCCCUGAUCAGCAGGAUCAAUCGGGGGCUUCUGCUGCCACUUUAAGAGCAGGAUACCCAGUUGGGAUCUGCAGAGAAUUGGAGAAUUGCUUGGUAUGGAAAACCCGCACAUCUGGAGACCCGCAGUGUUGGCAUGAGUGUAUAGAGAAAAGGAUAUGUGUCUUCCUGUGAACUGACUCAGCCAUCCUUGGUGUCAGUGUCCUUGGGACAGAUGGCCAGGAUCACCUGCUCUACAGAAAACCUCACUGGUACCAUCAGAAGCCAGGCCAGGCCCGGCCCCUGUGCUUGCUAUAUUUAAAGAUAGUGAGCCGCCCUCAGGUAUCCCUGACAGAGUC